CUACAUUUACAUGAUGUUUCUUAUACACAGUGGUAAUGGGUUCUACAAAAAUUUUUUAAAAAUGGCAAUAAUUAAUAGAGAAAGAACAUCUGCUUAAAACAGUUU